UCUCGUGGUUUUCUUCUUCAUAUAAAGCAAAUACUGGUUAGUUCCAUCAAAAAGUCCUCCACGAAGGCGAAUUUUUCCCAAUACAUGACAUUAGGAGUUCUUUUACAUCUGGAUUGAGUUCAAAAUUAUAAGGCUACGGAGUUGAACAAUGGCAUGGAAGCACGUAUGAGUUGGUUGAUUCUGAAGAGCAAUGGAGAGAAAUUCAAAGACAGCAAGAACAGAUACAAGCAAGAACAACGCAAGCAGCAGUUGUAAGAAAUUUGUCAAAAAGGAGAAGUGGGUAUUUGAAUUUUGGAUUAGAAACAGAAUCAGAAUCC